rnacentral:rRNA from 1 species
GGCUCAGGAUGAACGCUAGCUACAGGCUUAACACAUGCAAGUCGAGGGGCAUCAGGGUGUAGCAAUACGCCGCUGGCGACCGGCGCACGGGUGAGUAACACGUAUCCAACCUGCCCUUUACUCGGGGAUAGCCUUUCGAAAGAAAGAUUAAUACCCGAUGGCAUAACAUGACCUCCUGGUUUUGUUAUUAAAGAAUUUCGGUAGAGGAUGGGGAUGCGUUCCAUUAGGCAGUUGGCGGGGUAACGGCCCACCAAACCUUCGAUGG